AGGAUGAACGCUGGCGGCGUGCCUAAUACAUGCAAGUCGAGCGGUAAGGCCACUUCGGUGGUACACGAGCGGCGGACGGCUGAGUAACACGUAGGAACGUACCCCAAACUGAGGCAUAAGCACCAGAAAUGGUGUCUAAUACCGCAUGUGCUCUUCGGAGUAAAGCUUCGGCGGUUUGGGAACGGCCUGCGCAUGAUUAGCUUGUUGGUGAGGUAAUAGCUCACCAAGGCGACGAUCAUUAGCUGGUCUGAGAGGAUGAUCAGCCAGACUGGGACUGAGAACGGCCCAGACUCCUACGGGAGGCAGCAGUAGGGAAUUUUCCACAAUGGGCGAAAGCCUGAUGGAGCAACGCCGCGUGCAGGAUGAAUGCCUUCGGGUUGUAAACUGCUUUUAUCUGUGAAGAUUAUGACGGUAGCAGAUGAAUAAGGAUCGGCUAACUCCGUGCCAGCAGCCG
rnacentral:rRNA from 1 species